rnacentral:lncRNA from 1 species
UUUUUUUUUUUUUUUUUUUUCUUCCUUGCCUCUGCAGCCGAAGGAGGAGAUGUUGAGUGACCAGCGCUUGGAAGGGACCCGAGAACCUAGUUGGAAUGCCACACCAGCGAGGGGCGAGGGGCGGGAAGGAGAAGAACACGAACUGGAAGGGGGCGAAUACUAAAACUGAAAUGGAUUUGCACGUUCGGGACAAGGUGGCGGCGUCUCCUGGGCCUCCGCCUGCUGCAUCGCUGAAAUCAGUGAGGAGCUACAUUUUGAAGUGGCAUGAGGAGAAGGUAUUUUUCCACUCCAAGCUGCUGAAGUUGACUCUGGAGAGGAGAGAAGAGACGAUUUAAGCUGCAGUGGCUUAUCCUGUGGCCAUGAGAGAACCAUGGAGAUGCUGACCCAGAGCCGUGACACUAACUAUGGAACCAGUUCAAGAACAGCGCUGCUCGGCUUCUUGUUCCACAGGGAAAACACAUUCACAUUGACCAAGAUGCUUGCAGUCAGGUGGUCUGUGCCUUACAAACAAAAUCUUACCCCAUACAGAGAGAGAUCAUUUUCACGUAAAAAAUAUUGAUUAGCGGAGCUCCCAUUGGGGCUCAGCAGAAGCAAAUCCGACUAGUAACCAUAAGGUUGCGGGUUCGAUCCCUGGUCUUGAGAAAGGACUUGGUUAAGGACUCGGCAUUGCCAAGAGCUGUGGCGUAGGUCGCAGAUGCGGCUUAGAUCCCGUGUUGCUGUGGUUCUGAUUCAACCCCUAGCCUGGGAAUCUCCAUAUGCCUUGGGUGCAGCCCUAAAUACAUUUUUUUAAAAAGGCAAAAAUAUUGAUGAGCUUGCUCAGAGGCAAGUGACAUUACUACCAAAUGAGGACCACCACUCACGCCAUCCACAUUUAGGGACCACUUUAUGUAUUUGUGCUUUUUACAUUGUUUCAUUUCAUACUGGCCCUUUGACUUGGUUAUGAUUAUCCCCAUUUUAUAGAUGGGAAAAUUAAGUCCAGAGUGGUUAUUUAAUUUACCCCAUGUCUAAUAGGAAGUAGAAUUGAAUCUAGGCAGCGUAAUUCUGCAGUUGAUCCUCUUUUCCGCAAGGCAUAGGGCAAAAAUGUAAAGUAUGGCAUAUGCUGUAAGGUAGUUGUUCGGAAGUGGUUAGUUAUAUGUGUUGCUCAUAUGUAAUAACGUAUUUAACCAUCACAUUUACAUUGGUUAGCGUGUCCAUUUUUACAAUUACUUUUUGAUAAAGCAAUUCAAUGAGGAUUCCUUUGCAAGAUUUUCCAGUACCUGAGGACUGGAACGUUUGCCAAGAAUGAAGUCACAAAAGAAAACAAAAGGCACUUGGAAGAAUCAUCACAUCAAAUUUAUAAGUGACUUGGAGAAUGUCGGGCAGCUUUGUGAAAUGGUUUGCUGAAAUUAGAAUUUAGCUUACAUAUAAUAUUCAUAUCUACCAGAUUAGUAAGCCCCUAUUUUUAAAAAAGAAACCAGCAUGUAGUGACUUAAUUAAAUUCAGUCUGGCUCCAUGCGAUUGCUGAAUUAUUUUCUCAGUGAUCACAAUCAGUUAAACAGAAUGAAAAUCUUAAGGAGUUCCCUCUGUGGCGGUGUCCCUGUAGCACCAGGAUGCAGGUUCGAUCCCCAGCCCAGCACAGUGGGUUAAAGGAUCUGGCAUUGCUGCCUCGGUGGCAUGGGUCACAGCUGCAGCUUGGAUCUGAUCCCUGGCCCAAGAAUUCCAUAUGCUGCAGGGUGGCCAGAAAAGAAAAAAAGAAGAAAAAAAAAAAAAAAAAAAA